AGAGUUUGAUCAUGGCUCAGAAUGAACGCUGGCGGCAGGCCUAACACAUGCAAGUCGAACGGGUCCUUCGGGACUAGUGGCGGACGGGUGAGUAACGCGUGGGAACGUGCCCCUUGGUACGGAAUAGCCCUGGGAAACUGGGAGUAAUACCGUAUGUGGUCGAGAGACGAAAGAUUUAUCGCCAAGGGAUCGGCCCGCGUUGGAUUAGGUAGUUGGUGGGGUAAUGGCCUACCAAGCCGACGAUCCAUAUCUGGUUUGAGAGGAUGAUCAACCACACUGGGACUGAAACACGGCCCACACUCCUACGGGAGGCAGCAGUGGGGAAUCUUACACAAUGGGGGAAACCCUGAUCUAACCAUGCCGCGUGAUCAAUGAAGGCCUUACGGUUGUAAAGAUCUUUCAAGUGGGAAGAUAAUGACUGUACCACCAGAAGAAGCCCCGGCUAACUCCGUGCCAGCAGCCGCGGUAAUACGGAGGGGGCUAGCGUUAUUCGGAAUUACUGGGCGUAAAGCGCACGUAGGCGGACCAAAAAGUCAGAGGUGAAAGCCCGGGGCUCAACCCCGGAACGGCCUUUGAAACUCCUGGUCUUGAGGUCGAGAGAGGUGAGUGGAAUUCCGAGUGUAGAGGUGAAAUUCGUAGAUAUUCGGAGGAACACCAGAUGGCGAAGGCGGCUCACUGGCUCGAUACUGACGCUGAGGUGCGAAAGCGUGGGGAGCAAACAGGAUU
rnacentral:rRNA from 1 species